rnacentral:ncRNA from 1 species
CACCGCCCAUUGCUCCUACCGAUUGAAUGGUCUGGUGAAGUGUUCAGAUCGCGGUGACGUGGGCAGUUCACAACCGGCAACGUCGCGAGAAGUCCACUGAACCUUAUCAUUUAGAGGAAGGAGAAGUCGUAACAAGGUUUCUGGAGGUGAACCUGCGGAAG